rnacentral:rRNA from 1 species
GUCUACAGCUAUGCUACCCUGAACAAGUCCAAUCCCUUCUGAUCUCGGUAGCUAAACAGGGUCGAACCUGGUUAGUACUUGGAUGGGAGACCACCUAGGAAGACCAGGUGCUAUAGGUG